rnacentral:rRNA from 1 species
AGUGAACGCUGGCGGUAGGCCUAACACAUGCAAGUCGAACGGCAGCACAGUAAGAGCUUGCUCUUACGGGUGGCGAGUGGCGGACGGGUGAGGAAUACAUCGGAAUCUACUUUUUCGUGGGGGAUAACGUAGGGAAACUUACGCUAAUACCGCAUACGACCUACGGGUGAAAGCAGGGGAUCUUCGGACCUUGCGCGAUUGAAUGAGCCGAUGUCGGAUUAGCUAGUCGGCGGGGUAAAGGCCCACCAAGGCGACGAUCCGUAGCUGGUCUGAGAGGUUGAUCAGCCACACUGGAACUGAGACACGGUCCAGACUCCUACGGGAGGCAGCAGUGGGGAAUAUUGGACAAUGGGCGCAAGCCUGAUCCAGCCAUACCGCGUGGGUGAAGAAGGCCUUCGGGUUGUAAAGCCCUUUUGUUGGGAAAGAAAAGCAGCAGGUUAAUACCCCGCUGUUCUGACGGUACCCAAAGAAUAAGCACCGGCUAACUUCGUG